ensembl:lncRNA
ACAUUUUCCAUUUGCGUUCAUAGAUACGUGUUUUUAAGUUCUCACCUCACACGUAGAGAUGAAAAGGAGGAAGCUCUCGUUACGACAUAAUUAUGUUUCAUUCAGAGUGCUCAGGAGAAACUUGUUGGGGGGGUUAAUCCAACUGUUUGCAGUUAGCUGAAUGGGAGAACAGCUUUCUCUGAAUAUUUUUCUAACAUCUCAAGUAGAGGAAUUAUUUAAGUAGCCAUCAUGUAGUGUCCAUCACCCUCAUCCCCGUGCCUCCAUCACGUUCCUAGCUUUGUCUUACCACGCCUUCCUUUUUUCUCUUUCAUCUGAACCUUUUUUAUUUAUCCGCCACUAACCAUGUUCGUGUUUCCACGUAUGUGAGGAACAUCUGGCCUGCAGUAAUGUGAGCCACAUCGUUUUUAUGUUCUAUCUUCCAGGUUCAAGUGUGAGGGCCCCAGACGGAGCUGUACACCAGUUAAAGUCUCUACCAGUCUGGCAGGUUAAUGCUGGCACUUAUUCUACACUGUGGAUCAGAAACCCCGGGUAUCCUUCAGAAGCGUCGCGCGGAUCGGAUGUUCUGAGACGCGAGAGAGGAUUUCUCCAGUGGCAUCAAAUUCUAAGUUAUUAUUCAUGUCCGAUUCUCCUACAGUACAGAAAUAAAUAGUAAAUGAUCUUAAACGGUUGCCUCCACUGUGAGACAUCAUUUGCUCGUGUGAACACACGAGCCGUUGACCCUUGUUGUAGUUCUAGGAUGAGCGCUGGUAGUGGAGUUUGUUUCUGCAGCCUCCGUGUCCUCUGUGAGGGGACUGCCCUCUUCAGGUGGAAUAUGGACUGUGAGUCGGCCAUUUAAACACGUUCCCCUAUCAGCUGCAUGGCCGCUGGUGGUCUAAAGACACGCACUGCUCACAUGAAUCAUCAUUUCUGUUACGUGCCAGCUCCCCAACUUAGGGAGGAAUACGACCGUGGCACAGUAGGGAAUGUCCUCUGGUGAGGAGGGUGUCCCGCUGUCCCAAAGCUAAGCCUCUGUGACUCAGUGCUCGUUUUGCCAUAACAGCGUACACAUUAUCGUGGAAGUUUAUUUGAGAAGUCGGGCCUUCGCAGUCCUAUUAUCUGGAAUAAACGAACAGAGAGGCCAACAGGAUGUGGUAUAAUGUUUAUUAUAGGGUGAAACACAACACAGAACAACAUGAAGACGUGCAUAAAAUGACAAGUUAACCAAAGGCCAGUGUGAAGCCACAAGAUAAAUCCACAAUAUAUAUAUAU